rnacentral:rRNA from 1 species
UACGGAGGGUGCAAACGUUGCUCGGAAUCAUUGGGCGUAAAGCGCACGUAGGCGGCGCGUUAAGUCGGGUGUGAAAGCCCUGGGCUCAACCCAGGAAGUGCAUUCGAAACUGGCGCGCUUGAAUAUGGAAGAGGGUCGCGGAAUUCCCGGUGUAGAGGUGAAAUUCGUAGAUAUCAGGAGGAACACCGGUGGCGAAGGCGGCCACCUGGACGGUCACUGACGCUGAGACGCGAAAGCGUGGGGAGCAAACAGG